CAAAGUCAUUUGGGUUGUCCGUUCACUUGUUAUAUGGCAGUGCUUUGGCCAAAGAACAAAAGGAGAUGAGUAGUUGAUGUUUCAAGGAAGAGAGUGGCCAAGCAUCGUCUACAUCAGUGAUCUCAUCCGUCCACAACCAUGGCCACCCAUCCUUCCACAAUCAUAGCCAUAGCCUCUGCCUCCUCCAUCUUUGCAUCUAUCAUGCCUACUGUCAGGGUAUAGAAAUUGAUGGUAAAUGUCAUGAAUUUUUCAUUAGAAAUUUGAAUUGUGAUGAAUUAAUGGUUAAUUAGAAUUUUUAUGCCUUUUAUUGAUAUUGGUUGUUUUACAUUGUGCUGCGCACAAUCUGUUUGACGGAAGGUCUAAGAGAAGCAGAGAUAGUAAAUUAGGUUUUUUUUUUAUUAUAGAGAUUUUACUAGUAGCUGUUUGCAAUUGCUUUGUUUCUGUUCUCACCCUUGUUGUUGAAAUACAUGUUAAUUCAUUGAUAGAAACAAGCAAUUGUUUUGUAGAAACAAGCAAUUGUUUUGUAGAAACAAGCAAUUGUUUUG
rnacentral:misc_RNA from 1 species